AGCGAACGCUGGCGGCAGGCCUAACACAUGCAAGUCGAACGAAGUCUUCGGACUUAGUGGCGGACGGGUGAGUAACACGUGGGAACGUGCCUUUAGGUUCGGAAUAACUCAGGGAAACUUGUGCUAAUACCGAAUGUGCCCUUCGGGGGAAAGAUUUAUCGCCUUUAGAGCGGCCCGCGUCUGAUUAGCUGGUUGGUGAGGUAAUGGCUCACCAAGGCUACGAUCAGUAGCUGGUCUGAGAGGAUGACCAGCCACAUUGGGACUGAGACACGGCCCAAACUCCUACGGGAGGCAGCAGUGGGGAAUCUUGCGCAAUGGGCGAAAGCCUGACGCAGCCAUGCCGCGUGGAUGAUGAAGGUCUUAGGAUUGUAAAAUCCUUUCACCGGUGAAGAUAAUGACUGUAGCCGGAGAAGAAGCCCCGGCUAACUUCGUGCCAGCCGCCGCCGUAAUAC
rnacentral:rRNA from 1 species